rnacentral:lncRNA from 1 species
GAAAAAAGUGUCUUUUAUGAUCAAACAAACUAAAACAUCCGCUCACCAAGGUAACAAAAUCAACUGUUAAGAUAAAAUGUCAUUACAUUAAAAAUCAAAAUACUGAAAAUUUAAUACAUAAAAUACGUUGUCUUGAAAUAUCCAGAAAUACCCAAACACAAGAAACAAAAUGUUCAUAAAUCCACAAACAUAAGAAACCAAUAGCUUUUUGUCACACAACAAAUACUAGACAUCUACGGCUCAACAUGAAUCAUCUCUGUAUACUCAGGUGGAAUGAAGGUGCGUUUUGGCCUAGGCGGAUCCUGAUUGUCACUAACAUAUCCAUUGCAUGCCUUGUUCACACCAUAGUCACAUAACAAGGAUGUGUAUCUUGUACGAUGCUUUUUUGGAUCAAACCCUGAAGAAGGUAUUUGAUGCCCAUCACUUAAAUAUUCAACAUAAGCUGCAACAAAUAAGCCACAAUGCCUGAAAAAUAGAACA